rnacentral:rRNA from 1 species
AAAACGACUCUCGGCAACGGAUAUCUCGGCUCUCGCAUCGAUGAAGAACGUAGCGAACUGCGAUACUUGGUGUGAAUUGCAGAAUCCCGUGAACCAUCGAGUCUUUGAACGCAAGUUGCGCCCGAAGCCAUCCGGCCGAGGGCACGUCUGCCUGGGCGUCACG